UUACGAAGCACUCGGAAUAAUUAACGGACCUCACCAUCUCAUCCACUACCAUACUUCGGUUAAUUCGACUGAAGUUCGGUUCGACCUAGUUUCGGUAUAUUACAAUAAUGAAUCAACUUUUAAUUUCUCCUUAUCUCUAAAAUAGAAAAAAAUAUAUACUUAUCCAAAUUUUUGCCAACCGAAAUACAUCUACUAUGAAUCUAUAUUUUAAUUUGAAAUUUGUUUAAUUUUUUUUUUAUCUCUAAAAUAGAAAAACUUUCAUUCUUAUCCAAAUUUUUGUCAGAAUAUCUACUGUAAAUCUAUAUUUCAAUUCAAAUAAUUUUAAAUUUUAAAUUUUAAAUUUU
rnacentral:lncRNA from 1 species